rnacentral:rRNA from 1 species
CUGCAACUCGCCUACAUGAAGUCGGAAUCGCUAGUAAUCGCGGAUCAGCAUGCCGCGGUGAAUACGUUCCCGGGCCUUGUACACACCGCCCGUCACACCAUGAGAGUCGGGAACACCCGAAGUCCGUAGCCUAACCGCAAGGGGGGCGCGGCCGAAGGUGGGUUCGAUAAUUGGGGUGAAGUCGUAACAAGGUAUC